GAUGAACGCUGGCGGCGUGCCUAAUACAUGCAAGUCGAGCGAACGGACGAGAAGCUUGCUUUUCUGAUGUUAGCGGCGGACGGGUGAGUAACACGUGGAUAACCUACCUAUAAGACUGGGAUAACUUCGGGAAACCGGAGCUAAUACCGGAUAAUAUUUUGAACCGCAUGGUUCAAAAGUGAAAGACGGUCUUGCUGUCACUUAUAGAUGGAUCCGCGCUGCAUUAGCUAGUUGGUAAGGUAACGGCUUACCAAGGCAACGAUGCAUAGCCGACCUGAGAGGGUGAUCGGCCACACUGGAACUGAGACACGGUCCAGACUCCUACGGGAGGCAGCAGUAGGGAAUCUUCCGCAAUGGGCGAAGGCCUGACGGAGCAACGCCGCGUGAGUGAUGAAGGUCUUCGGAUCGUAAAACUCUGUUAUUAGGGAAGAACAUAUGUGUAAGUAACUGUGCACAUCUUGACGGUACCUAAUCAGAAAGCCACGGCUAACUACGU
rnacentral:rRNA from 1 species